AGCCAUUUUAUAGCCCGCCUACUUUCUUUGCUAGACUCCCAAGAAAAUCAUCGGUUCUGUUGUGUUCUAGCAUUUUUGUGCUGUGGACUUUUUUCUCCCGGAAGUUGAAAUGCGUAAAUAUUAGGAUUAGUGGACAGCGAUUAUUAGCGGAUGGAUGGAGCUGCUUCCUAUACCGUCCAUAUGUGACUCUGCGCUGCUACGUGUCCUUCUCCUGACGUUGUCUCUUCUAUGUGCUGAUGUGGAAGCUCUCCGGGUGAUUGGCGGAAGUGUGACAGUGAAACAAGGAAGUACUGCUAUCUUAUCGUGCUAUGUCACUGGUACCAAUGAUGACCUGACACAGAUUACCUGGCAGAGGAAGACUAGAGAAAAACCUCGCAAUGACAAUUUCCUAACUAUCCUACCCAGAGAGGGAGUGCAGUUUGUCAAUGGAGGUGAUGAUCGAUUUAAAUAUAUUGGGAAUUUUAACAACAAAAAUGGAACUCUCCAGUUAUCCAAUGUUGCCCUGAAGGAUGAAGGCAGAUACACGUGCAUCUUCACCUUGUUUCCCAGUGGAAAUCAGAAGAUUGAGAUACCUCUAAACGUGCUUGUGCCUCCUUUCACAAGCGUCAAGGACAAUCUUCCCACUUUGGGCACAGAAGAGGUUUUAUUUGCUACCUGCACGGCUGUUGGAUCGAAGCCUCCUGCAGAGGUGAGGUGGCUCACUGGUGCUUUGGGAGACAAAGUGAGGACGACGGCAAACUCCACCCAGUAUGACAACGAUACAACUACCACUGUCAGCUCGUUGUUUGGUGUUCCUACGAGAGAGAUUAACGGUCACCAGGUCCAGUGUGUCAUCAGCGGUGACUCUCUGUCUAAAGAAGAGAGUCUGCUCUUCACUAUACAGAUCUACUUUUCUCCCACAGAAGUGAACAUUAGAAUGAUUUCAGAGGACUCGUUCGAGUGUGUGACAGAAGCCAAACCAAAUGCAAACUUUACCUGGAGCAGAUCUGGCCAGUCUUUGCUGGAGUCUUCUGUCAAAAUAGACGGUGCAAAGCUACAACUGCUGAGCCUGACCUCUGAUCUAAAUGGCCUUUAUCAGUGUGAAGCAUCUAACACAUAUGGAAGUAAACGUGGUCAGCUCUAUGUGCAUGUGGCAUCAGGAACUUUGUCUUCAGCCAGUAUCGCUUCACUCAAAAGGCGAUGGAAAAAGGUGCUUCGACUUACGAAAAUUUUGACUUACGAAAGGACCCCCUGGAACGAAUUAAUUUCGAUCGUGCUCUGCUGCAUGGGCCUUACUUGGUGUUUUUAUAUGUGUUUUUUUCCUGAGCAUCGUUGGGGCUGCAGUAUGGUACUUUUAUACACAUGAAGAUCAAAGGCGUAGGUUUACAUUUUUUUGGCAGCGUGUCCCAACAAAUGAACCAGCUGGUAACAGUGCAGCGCAACAAGAACAACAUCAGAUGGAGUAAUCUCUGUGACAGCUGUGGAAGCAAAGGAUGAGCAAUAUCUGGACUGAAUGCUCGACCAACAUGUCAUUCUAGAGUCAGCUACUAAAUGAACAGAUGAAGAACAGGUGGAGGUACUUGGUGUCCGUUUAUCUCUCUGCCCCACUUUUGUUUAUCAUGUCUUAGUUUUUAAUGAAGUUUCUUUAUUGCUUUUUCUUGUACUGCCAUGGCAUUUAGGUUCUACCUUGACAUACCAGCUCUGGCUAAUAUGAAUGGCAGUUUUUCUCUGACAUUUACAUCUCCUGAUAACACAAGCCGUUAAGCUACUGAGGAUUUCAACCCACAGGGCUUCUGUUUAAAACAGUGUUAUCAGUACACCACAGAGCCUCACACAGACAAUAGGUUCAGACGGCACAAACAGCCAAGUGAAGCACACUGUCUGACUACCAUAUAUAGUACAUAACACUUGAAAAAUAGAGCCCCACCCUUGUUAGUGCACGGCAGAUGUUUUGCUUGGAAAUCUAACAUAAAGCAACAUACAAAGAAAUUUGAAAGAAAAAAAAAAUAUUUUAAAAAAUCUUAGUGAGGUUUUGUUACUGUGUUGAAUUAUUGGUUGUUUCGUUUUGUUUUUUUCAUUAAUUUGAAGAAAAUCAAAGGUCUUCACCCUUGAAAUUUUUUAAUUUAACUGUAAAAAGCAGUACGUUAUAGCAUUUUACAGGAGAGUAUAGUUACAAAGGUCACAUUUCUCUCAUUAAUCAUUAAUCUUAAUGACUGUAUUAACUUAGAUUACAUGCUGGUCAAUGUUUAAUGUGAAACUAGAACAGAACACCAAAGCAUACACACUAAAAUGCUGGAAAUUCUGUGGUGGUACUCAACACACUGCAGUUUAAAAGUCUGCUUCAGCAGGAAAGAAAAGUUUGAGAAAAUUAAACAAGCUAUUUAUGAUUUUAUAGUAUUCACACACGUAAUAAGUUAUUAGUUCGAUGUUAUCUUCCUAUUUUCGCUCUUUGUCAUAAUGUGCAGUGUGAGGAAUAAUAAAAAACAGCGACUGAUCAGCAAGAGUAACCAAUUGAUACAGAAGUAAAAGCAAAGAUUUGUCCAGGUGUAGGAAAGAAGUAUUCCCUACAUCCCCCUUCAUGAAUCACCACCUUAUCGCGGUAAAGGGGUUUGCGUGUCCUUCUGAUCCCAGGAGCUGUGUUGUCGGGGACAGUUUGUCCCUGGUAGGGUCUCCCAAGACAAUUUGUUCAUGGGUAAAGGGCCAGACCAAGUGUGAUUCAAAAGAGUUCGAUGAUGAGAAGUUACUUGACAAAAUCUUGGUUACCAGGGCCCGUUCAUAAGGCCAAACUUAGUCAAGGAGCUAUUUUUGGAAACACCCAUUAUUCAUGGGUCCUGGCUGACCCCAGUUACUCCAGUGAACCCAUCACCUGCUGGAGGGGCCAUAGUGGUCCAGUGUUACGUGGAUCAGGUGCUAAAACUGGUUUGUGAUAUACGGUGAUAAUCAAGUGUUCCUUCAAGUGUGAGCAGUGUACUAUGUUGAGUAUCAUACAUAAUGAGAAAGGUUUUCUAAAAUGUCCACUCAGGCAAAACAAGCUUUGUUAAUGAUUCAUAACUCCAGCUGCUGUAGGUGGAGAGCAGUGACCAGUCUAUAAAGUCACACUUCAUACAUGGAUUUAUGAAAUUUAUUGCUAAUUAACAAACAUUCAUUGUUUUAUGAUUAGAUUUUUUUCCCACCAGAUUUGUCAUAGACUGAAAUAUUAUGUGAUAGAUCAGAAGGUGGGCGUAUUGUGUGAGGAUGUUAGCGUGAUGUCAAGUUGAAAGUAAAAUUUUAAUUAUAUUCUAUGUUUUCAUGUGUUAAGUGCUUAUUCUAAAUUAUUAUCAUUGAAUUCGGGGGGUUAAUGUUCUAGUGUUGUUGAUUCACAGUUUUCAUUGUCUCACUGGUCAUGAUGGUACUUAUGUGAAUGUUUCAGUAUAAAACUUUUUACAGUUUUAAAUAGUGAAGCAAACUGCAGCUAUUAAUGAUUGCUACAAAACAAUACCUCUUUUUAUACUUUUUAGAAGUGUAUUCUGGUACUGCCUAAAGUUUUUGUAUUAAGCUGCUUCACUUUUGUAAAAGGUUAAUUUGCAUAUUUAACUGCUGUUUACAAACAAGCUUGAAGGGGGCCACAGCAGCGUGUUGUUUUAUACUAUUUAUAUUUUAGGAUAGAAACUGCUGACUCAUCUUGUCUGGAUCUUGUUGCUAAAUCUGUUUUUAGAUUUAGUAAUGGAUGUAAAGAUAUUCUUUGCCUUUUUCCUGCAUACUGCUGAAUAUUGUAAAU